GGGGGUAGAGCUCAGCGGUGGAGCAUGUGAUUCGUGUGCCCGAGGCCCUGGGUUCAAUCCCCAGUGCUUCCA
rnacentral:tRNA from 1 species